rnacentral:rRNA from 2 species
CCCGGUAGCUAAAUGCGGAAGAGAUAAGUGCUGAAAGCAUCUAAGCACGAAACUUGCCCCGAGAUGAGUUCUCCCUGAGACUUUAGGUCUCCUGAAGGAACGUUGAAGACGACGACGUUGAUAGGCCGGGUGUGUAAGCGCAGCGAUGCGUUGAGCUAACCGGUACUAAUGAACCGUGAGGCUUAACCUUACAACGCCGAAG